rnacentral:rRNA from 1 species
GACGAACGCUGGCGGCGUGCUUAACACAUGCAAGUCGAACGGGCCCGCCCCUGUUUUUGGGGGUGGGUUGAGUGGCGAACGGGUGAGUAUCACGUGAGUAACCUGCCCCCUGCUCCUGGAUAACUGCUUGAAAGGGCGGCUAAUACGGGGUGUGCCGGCUGGUCCGCAUGGGCCUGGUCGGGAUAGUUUCAUCUUCGGGUGUUUCGGUGGGGGAUGGGCUCGCGGCCUAUCAGCUUGUUGGUGGGGUGAUGGCCCACCAAGGCGGUGACGGGUAGCCGGCCUGAGAGGGUGGGCGGCCACACUGGGAGUGAGACACGGCCCAGACUCCUGCGGGAGGCAGCAGUGGGGGGUAUUGCACAAUGGGCGGAAGCCUGAUGCAGCGACGUCGCGUGAGGGAUGGAGGCCUUCGGGUUGUGAAACUCUUUCUCCGGUGGUGAAGGCCCUGUCCGGUGCGGCGGGGUUGACGGUAGCCGGGUAUGAGGCGCCGGCUAACUACGUG